CUUAUAGGUUUCUUAGGAAGAGUUCGAUAUAUAUGUGACUGGCUCAUGGAAUUAUGGUAUUUGGUGCCAUACUGCAUUGGGAUAUGAAUCUUCUUGCAAUCAAAUAACUGCAGAAGAACUGCGGUCUUCCAAAAUAUGGACAGCUUUGUCAUACACAUGGGAUAAUGCUGGGCACUUCAUUCAAGUAAGACGCUAUAGACCUACAUUGUCGCAAACCAACAAUGAAUGGUAUGUCAAUACAUGUUCAACUGGAGUCGACAAGUUCAUGAGUUUUGUUUCAAAUAUCAUUUCCAGAAACGAACAUUCUCGAUUGGUCCAGUCAAAUAUAUUCGAAUGCUAUUUAAGAUAUUUUUUGAUUAAGGGCUAGUAUUUCGUACAUGUGGAUUAUUGAAACUUGUAUUAAGAUGUACAAAUAUUAUAAAUCGUAUUAUAGUGUAUAUAUAUUAAAGUGUUGGCUAUUUUCUUGUACAUUGGUGUGAAACUUGUAUAAUUUCAAAUUUGUCAUUCUCAGCUACA